CACUCAUUUGGCAGCCGGUGUGUGAAUAAUCUCACCUUGCUCUCCCUGAAUUUUUUACUCCGAUCUUUCGGACCUGGCAACGAACUCUCUUUUUUUAACCUGGCGAAUUGAUUUCAUGUGCAUAUGUAAAUUGAACAGUUAUUCGUGACGUCUUACGGCGAUACCGCUAUGGGUUUUCGAGUGGAACUCCGCCCCUCAAAUCGCUUAUAGCAACAAAGUGGGCAAACAAAACGUGCGGCGAUAAGACCCAAGUGAUAUGGCGGAAAUGCUCUCAGCCUGAUUAAUUUGGGUUUACCUGAACAAACAAUCGCAUUCCCUGCAGGUGGAAUGAGUAAUCCCGAUCGAAAUAACACCUGAGCGGAAGGCAUUUGAAUGAAAUGAAUGGCAGACCGUGGCAACCAAGCAUUUACCCAGGCUUAUAUGCUAAUAAGAAGUACUCCCAGUUUAUACAUUCUUGGGUUUAUUUUAAAUCUUGAUAAUAUUUUAAAU